rnacentral:siRNA from 1 species
UGACUCAUUGUGGGUGGAGCU